UAACGCGUAGGUAACCUACCUCAUAGCGGGGGAGUAACUAUUGGAAACGAUAGCUAAUACCGCAUAAUAGAGACUAACGCAUGUUAGUAAUUUAAAAGGGGCAAUUGCUCCACUAUUAGAUGGACCUGCGUUGUAUUAGCUAGUUGGUGAGGUAAAGGCUCACCAAGGCGACGAUACAUAGCCUACCUGAGAGGGUGAUCGGCCACACUGUGACUGAGACACGGCCCAG
rnacentral:rRNA from 1 species